CGCAGGCGUGAGAGUCUCCUCAGGCUAUUUAAGCGAGGCUCGAGUGUUUCGCGUUCUUUCGCUUCUGCGGCGCUCGUCGGAACCUUUGUCUCUCUGUUCCUCUUCUGAUGGCGUUCUACCCUGGGAACGUGGGUGUGCUACUCCAUGUGGUUUGCAUGAUCAGAGACUGCAGGAUGGAUCUCGGAGAAGACGACUCCUGCUGGGCCUCUAAGGCAACCAUGUAUAGACAUCCACAAUCUUCAGUCUCCUGAUCUCUGGGGUUUACUAGUGGCAGAAAGCAGACUUUGAAUGGACUAUCAUUUGGAAAGAAUGGGACUAGAGCACCCUGUGUUCCUCAAGGCAAUGAGGAAGUGGAUUCCAGCCUGAUUUUGCCGUCAGCUUGGUUCAGUCUAUCCUGUAACAGGGCAUUUAUCAGCUAUGGACUUGGAAUACAAGGCCUCAAAUGACUGAUCCUGUGCUCUCCAGAGAAAGCAUGACUUGGUUGAUCAGUCUCACAAGAUGAUUCUGCAACCCAGGUAUCCAGAGUUGGAAAAGCCUCUGCCUGCUCUGAAGAAUCAGUUACUGAUUUUUAGCCUCCCUAUGUGGAAAAUAAAGCCCUUUAAAUCAAAA